rnacentral:rRNA from 1 species
GACGAACCGUGCGAACGUUGUUCGGAAUCACUGGGCUUAAAGGGCGCGUAGGCGGAUUCCCAAGCCCGGGGUGAAAGCUUUCGGCUUAACCGGAAAAGGGCCCCGGGGACUGGGGAUCUAGAGGGGGGCAGGGGCCCGCGGAACUUCGGGUGGAGCGGUGAAAUGCGUUGAGAUCCGAAGGAACGCCGGUGGCGAAAGCGGCGGGCUGGACCCCUACUGACGCUGAGGCGCGAAAGCCAGGGGAGCAAACGGG